rnacentral:rRNA from 1 species
GUGGGGAAUAUUGGACAAUGGGCGAAAGCCUGAUCCAGCCAUGCCGCGUGUGUGAAGAAGGUCUUCGGAUUGUAAAGCACUUUAAGUUGGGAGGAAGGGCAGUAAGUUAAUACCUUGCUGUUUUGACGUUACCGACAGAAUAAGCACCGGCUAACUUCGUGCCAGCAGCCGCGGUAAUACGAAGGGUGCAAGCGUUAAUCGGAAUUACUGGGCGUAAAGCGCGCGUAGGUGGGUUUGUAAGUUGGAGGUGAAAUCCCCGGGAUCAACCUGGGAACUGACUCCAAAACUGCAUGACUAGAGUACGGUAGAGGGUAGUGGAAUUUCCUGUGUAGCGGUGAAAUGCGUAGAUAUAGGAAGGAACACCAGUGGCGAAGGCGACUACCUGGACUGAUACUGACACUGAGGUGCGAAAGCGUGGGGAGCAAACAGGAUUAGAUACCCCUGUAGUCC